AUGAACGCUGGCGGCGUGCCUAAUGCAUGCAAGUCGAGCGAACGGACGAGAAGCUUGCUUCUCUGAUGUUAGCGGCGGACGGGUGAGUAACACGUGGAUAACCUACCUAUAAGACUGGGAUAACUUCGGGAAACUGGAGCUAAUACCGGAUAAUAUUUUGAACCGCAUGGUUCAAAAGUGAAAGACGGUCUUGCUGUCACUUAUAGAUGGAUCCGCGCUGCAUUAGCUAGUUGGUAAGGUAACGGCUUACCAAGGCAACGAUGCAUAGCCGACCUGAGAGGGUGAUCGGCCACACUGGAACUGAGACACGGUCCAGACUCCUACGGGAGGCAGCAGUAGGGAAUCUUCCGCAAUGGGCGAAAGCCUGACGGAGCAACGCCGCGUGAGUGAUGAAGGUCUUCGGAUCGUAAAACUCUGUUAUUAGGGAAGAACAUAUGUGUAAGUAACUGUGCACAUCUUGACGGUACCUAAUCAGAAAGCCACGGCUAACUACGUG
rnacentral:rRNA from 1 species